UACGGGGGGAGCAAGCGUUGUUCGGAUUUACUGGGCGUAAAGGGCGCGUAGGCGGCCACCGCAAGUCGACUGUGAAAUCUCCGGGCUUAACCCGGAAAGGUCAGCCGAUACUGCGGGGCUAGAGUGCAGAAGGGGCAACUGGAAUUCUCGGUGUAGCAGUGAAAUGCGUAGAUAUCGAGAGGAACACCAGUGGCGAAGGCGAGUCUCUGGACGACACCUGACACUGAGGCACGAAAGCUGGGGGAGCAAACAGG
rnacentral:rRNA from 1 species